CCUACGGGCGGCAGCAGUGGGGAAUAUUGGACAAUGGGGGGAACCCUGAUCCAGCGACGCCGCGUGAGUGAAGAAGUAUUUCGGUAUGUAAAGCUCUAUCAGCAGGGAAGAAAGAAAUGACGGUACCUGACUAAGAAGCCCCGGCUAACUACGUGCCAGCAGCCGCGGUAAUACGGAGGGGGCAAGCGUUAUCCGGAUUUAAUGGGUGUAAAGGGAGCGUAGACGGGGAUGCAAGUCUGAAGUGAAAGGCGGGGGCCCAACCCCCGGACUGCCUUGGAAACUGUAUGGCUGGAGUGCAGGAGAGGUAAGUGGAAUUCCUAGUGUAGCGGUGAAAUGCGUAGAUAUUAGGCGGAACACCAGUGGCGAAGGCGGCUUACUGGACUGUAACUGACGUUGAGGCUCGAAAGCGUGGGGAGCAAACAGGAUUAGAUACCCCGGUAGUC
rnacentral:rRNA from 1 species